AACGAACGCUGGCGGCAGGCCUAACACAUGCAAGUCGAGCGGAUGAAGAGAGCUUGCUCUCUGAUUUAGCGGUGGACGGGUGAGUAAUGCCUAGGAAUCUGCCUGGUAGUGGGGGAUAACGUUCCGAAAGGAACGCUAAUACCGCAUACGUCCUACGGGAGAAAGCAGGGGACCUUCGGGCCUUGCGCUAUCAGAUGAGCCUAGGUCGGAUUAGCUAGUUGGUGAGGUAAUGGCUCACCAAGGCGACGAUCCGUAACUGGUCUGAGAGGAUGAUCAGUCACACUGGAACUGAGACACGGUCCAGACUCCUACGGGAGGCAGCAGUGGGGAAUAUUGGACAAUGGGCGAAAGCCUGAUCCAGCCAUGCCGCGUGUGUGAAGAAGGUCUUCGGAUUGUAAAGCACUUUAAGUUGGGAGGAAGGGCAUUAACCUAAUACGUUAGUGUUUUGACGUUACCAACAGAAUAAGCAGCGGCUAACUUCGUGCCAGCAGCCGCAGUAACAC
rnacentral:rRNA from 1 species